GGUGACAGUGGUGCAUGGUUGUCGUCAGCUCGUGUCGUGAGAUGUUGGGUUAAGUCCCGCAACGAGCGCAACCCCUAUUGUUAGUUGCCAUCAUUCAGUUGGGCACUCUAGCGAGACUGCCGGUAAUAAACCGGGAGGAAGGUGGGGAUGACGUCAAAUCAUCAUGCCCCUUAUGACCUGGGCUACACACGUGCUACAAUGGUUGGUACAACGAGUUGCGAGUCGGUGACGGCGAGCUAAUCUCUUAAAGCCAAUCUCAGUUCGGAUUGUAGGCUGCAACUCGCCUACAUGAAGUCGGAAUCGCUAGUAAUCGCGGAUCAGCACGCCGCGGUGAAUACGUUCCCGGGCCUU
rnacentral:rRNA from 1 species